GUGGUGGGCUGAGGUCACACAGUUCCAGCUCUCACCCAAGGUGCCUCCAAACCUCAAAAGUAAGAUAAAGAGGCAAAAACACAAGGGCAGGAAGAGCAGUAUAAGUCUUACCAGGAAUCUUGGCUAAGGGGUUCUUCAUUGAGAGGCCAGUCUCUAACAUGUUCUGUGUUUUGGGUUCUCGGUGGUAACAACUUUCAGAGAUACAGAAUUUUGAGAAAAGUGGAGCAUAAGAAUUCCAAAGAUCUGCCUAGCCCUGGCUGCCUGUGGGGGUUGGGAAGGAAUGUCCUACUUACCAAGGAUGCAUCAGAAGAUGAGGAUCCAAGAGGUUGAACCAUGAUGGAAUAUAACCCACAGUUUAGUAUGGUGAGAUGCCUGAGCCCCAACUCUGGAACUGGCUGAGAAAUUCAAGCAACAGAAACCAGGCACUAAGGAAUUAAUCCUGCAGUUCCGAGACUGCUGCAACUGUCCAGCUUGUACAGCUCGAGUUAAAGGUCAGACCCUAUAAUAAACCUUCUGGAAGUUGAGAUCAUUGCGACCCCAGCCUGAAGGCCAGGGGAGAUGUGCUCAGGACCUGCUCCACCCCAAAGGAAACCGCAGGCUUCAUUUCAGGUCAGCAGAAGGCAGAAAGGAAGUUCAAGUUCCAGGGCUUCUGGUGCAUCGGCCUCCCUUUUAAUACUAUGAGAAAAGGAAGUUCAAACGGCUAUACCCACAGUUGUCGAUCCGGUUGCCUCCUCCUCGACCUGGGUGUCCACUCCGGGCAGGGGUCCGAUGUCUCGACCUAGGUCUCAGCCGAGAUCCCGUCUGGCAGGUUGCCCUCGAGCUGGAUCGGUCACCGAGUGGGAUGAUCCAUAACCAGAUCCUGUCAGUCUUAUCACUGAAGCAACACAAGAAUCCACUCCCUCCGCCUCCAGUCCAAACUGCACUCAUCUCCCCUGUGGCUUCUAAUUGGGGCGUUCACACCCCUUCCUCAAAGUGCAAAUCUGCGUCACUCACCUCCAGCAAAGCCUUCUGUGAGGGCUCUAAGAGUAAUAACUUUAGUAGUCCUUCUAAUGGUCUUCAUGGCCCUUCACAGUCAAGAUCCAGCCAAGGAAGCUCAGAACUUCACAAAAAUAGCAGGCCCCUGCAUCUUCACAGGGUUUAUCAUCCGCCUUCUGGAGCAGCUGUUCUCCUGAACUAUGCACCUUUUGCUUAUCUCACCCAAUGACCAUGAUUUCAUCGAUGGAGGGGAUCUGUGUGAUGUUCUGAGGGCUGCCCAGAUGGUCCAGAGCUCUCUGGGCAAUGAAUGAAGGCAAGAAGGUUAACAUCGCUCUGGAGGGAAACUGUAAACGAACAUGGUUGCCUGUCCCACAGGAAUGCCCAAUGUUUCUGAUCUCCUUAUUCCAUUGGAUUAGGUAAGAACACAUGAAAUUUUUAGCCAUCCUGUGAUUACUGUGCCAGAAUAUCCCCUUCAAAGUAAAAGGCAGGACAGGGUGUGCAGCUCAAUGUUACAGCAUGCACUCAGACUGUGGUAGGGCCUGGGUUCAAUCCCCAGCACCAAAAAAGGUAAAAGACAAAUUGAUGCUUCUUGCAUCCUCUACCACAAAGAAGGAAGCAUAGCACCUGGUUAGGCCUCUUUGGAUUCUGGAGGCUAC
ensembl:lincRNA